UACGUAGGGUGCAAGCGUUGUCCGGAAUUAUUGGGCGUAAAGAGCUCGUAGGCGGUUUGUCGCGUCGGAUGUGAAAUCCCGGGGCUUAACCCCGGGUCUGCAUUCGAUACGGGCUGACUAGAGUUCGGCAGGGGAGACUGGAAUUCCUGGUGUAGCGGUGAAAUGCGCAGAUAUCAGGAGGAACACCGGUGGCGAAGGCGGGUCUCUGGGCCGAUACUGACGCUGAGGAGCGAAAGCGUGGGGAGCGAACAGG
rnacentral:rRNA from 1 species